CAGCAAAACCUUUCGCUCGAGCCAAAUUUAUGUUGAGUUUUUGAUCACCAAAAAGUGGUAUGCCGACAACUGGAACACCAUGAUGAACCGUUUCCAUUGUACUGGAUAUGCCACCGUGAGUGAUGAACAGCUUCACAUUCGGGAUAUCGAAAGGCAAACGUUCAAAGGCUCCUUUAAGCGCCUGAGUUAAAUGUUCCGGGAUCAGUAUACUCUGCAUUGCGGAUCCGAGGCUGAAGAGGAUUACACCAUUCUUUGAAGAAUCAAUGUAUCUCUGCAAGUCCUGUACAAGCUACAGAUUUACGCGUACCAUAAAAAUUCCGAUGGCACAUAGCUCCAUGGUGCCGAGUUUCCGAAAAUUCGGUUGAGCGUCGAAGUUGUACCGAAGGUACUGAUGAGAACGACGGGGCAUUUGAAUUUCUGGACGAAAACGAUGAAUGCCUCGUUCACAAAUUGUUCCAUAACGAUAACGUCAUAUUUUUCUUCCGAUCUAAUCAAAGCCUGUGCCUCUGGGCUCUUCACAGCAGCUUCCGUCGACCGAAUUCCGAUUUGAAAAAGCGCCAGUUGCGCGCGAAGGAAGUUUGCAUUGACGAAAUCCAUCAUAUCAAAAUUGGCUUUGAAAAAUAUCCAGGCCGUGCAUAACAGACGAAGUUACUGAGAGAUGGGACUUUCCAGGAACUGGGAAAAGGCCCAGAAUUUUAGCACAGAAUCCAUCUUGCCCCGCGAGGCAUAUGAGAAUACACGUCGUUAUUAAACGCAUCUGAAAAUAUAAAACAACGUGUUUGAUCAAUGUGUCGAAUUCUUUUAUUCGAAGACGGAGAAAGAAAAAAAAGGAAAACAAAGUAACACUUGUGAUUCUGAACAUUUUUGAGUUUCGUUUACAACCGAUCGUGUUUUUGAUACGAAUGAAUAAUUCCGAGCGGUGUAACUUAAUUCAAAUAUUAUUUUUGACUAUUUAAACGGAAUAAAAUAGAUAUAGCAAUUAUUCUUA